rnacentral:rRNA from 1 species
UACGUAGGGCGCAAGCGUUAUCCGGAAUUAUUGGGCGUAAAGAGCUCGUAGGCGGUUUGUCGCGUCUGCCGUGAAAGUCCGGGGCUCAACUCCGGAUCUGCGGUGGGUACGGGCAGACUAGAGUGUGGUAGGGGAGACUGGAAUUCCUGGUGUAGCGGUGAAAUGCGCAGAUAUCAGGAGGAACACCCGUGGCGAAGGCGGCACUCUGGGACGGUACUGACGCUGAGACGCGAAAGCGUGGGGAGCGAACAGG